rnacentral:tRNA from 1 species
GCGGGUAUCGUAUAUCGGCUAUUACCUCGGCCUUCCAAGCCGAUGAGGGGGGUUCGACUCCCCCUACCCGCUCCA